ensembl:lncRNA
CACCGUUCGUUCAACUUCCUCAUAAUAGAAGCAGCAAUUACUGUAGACAGUACGGUAGGGAGUGUGUUAACUGGGCAUGUGAUGGCAGAGAGAAGCUUCCUGUAAGAGAAAACCCUCAGUUCCGACUCAGGAGUUGGACUUUCCUAGAUCGAUGAGGGAAUUCCAGUAUAGAGACUUGGAGAAGACAUUCAUGGAGGCCCUCACGUGUGCCAGCCAUGUGCAGAGAGAACCAACAAGCAAGGGCCAAUUGUAAGGGCCUCAGAGUCUGUUGAGAAAAGGACACAGGCACUCAAACCAAUGCCACUCAACACUGCAGGCAUGGCAGCUGAGCUUGUGUGCAAGUGAGGUGCUACUGAAACCUGGUUACA